rnacentral:misc_RNA from 1 species
GGUAUUUCAACUGCUAGUAUCAAUGUAUGAAAUAAAGGACAAAUCAGAUCAACCAGCAGUUAUGUCCUCAAAAAUUGGAGUACUAUCUGAAAAAUACCAUAAAUUAGAUCCUACAUUGCUUCGCCCUAGCUAUUGCACAAAGUACAAAAAUACACACAAUUCCAUCAACCAAAUCCGAGUGUGUUGGAUAUAUUGAUGCAGCAAUAAAACGCCACCAGGCUACUGUAGAUUCAAACUAAGUGCUUCUUCAGCCUCAAAUUCAAGAUGCUUCCAAUUCAGCCUUUUUAUUUUCCAAGAGCUUCAACUCUUUUCUCCAGCUUUCCAGCUUGGCCAUUUUCUCCAGCUGCUCUGGCUUCAUGUCCUUCUCAUCAGUCUUCUGCUGUUGAGCUUCUGUCAGCCGAAUCUUUUUCUUCAGAGCUCGGAUCUUUUUGUCAAUGUCCUGCAGACUAUCUCCCAUGCCAGAAGACUCGGUUGAAUUUGAAGGAGGGACAACAGGAUUUGCAGAUAUGGCAAGAUUGUUUAUCUGGGACAUAACUGACUCGACCUGAUCUGGACCAUCAACUGAAUUUUCAGCAGAUGAGACCUCAUCGUUCUCUGGAUUCUUACCCUUUUCAAGGGCAGCCUGUUGACGCUUCUCCUUCUUCCUUUCAUUCCGCUUGGCAGCUUUAGACUUGGGCUUUUCAUCCAUCACAGGAUCAUAACCCGGCGGAACAUCCUGCAGUGACUCCAUUUCCUUCUUCCAAAUAGCGCCUUUAGAUUUGUAAAUGGCGACUUCAUCUUGAGGCACAUAACCAGCCCUAAUUCGAAUAGGUUUACGGAGUGUUCCGUCAGGUCGUCUUGUUGGUGCGAGUAGUCUUUCCCCUUCUUUUAGGGUUUUGCCUAGCUCAGCUGCCAAUUGUUUCGCUUCUUCCUCUCCUCUGGUCGUGCUGCUCGCCAUUGCC